rnacentral:rRNA from 1 species
GAUGAACGCUGGCGGCGUGCCUAAUACAUGCAAGUCGAGCGAAUGGAUUAAGAGCUUGCUCUUAUGAGGUUAGCGGCGGACGGGUGAGUAACACGUGGGCAACCUGCCCAUAAGACUGGGAUAACUCCGGGAAACCGGGGCUAAUACCGGAUAACAUUUUGAACCGCAUGGUUCGAAAUUGAAAGGCGGCUUCGGCUGUCACUCAUGGACGGACCCGCGUCGCAUUAGCUAGUUGGUGAGGUAACGGCUCACCAAGGCAACGAUGCGUAGCCGACCUGAGAGGGUGAUCGGCCACACUGGGACUGAGACACGGCCCAGACUCCUACGGAAGGCAGCAGUAGGGAAUCUUCCGCAAUGGACGAAAGUCUGACGGAGCAACGCCGCGUGAGUGAUGAAGGCUUUCGGGUCGUAAAACUCUGUUGUUAGGGAAGAACAAGUGCUAGUUGAAUAAGCUGGCACCUUGACGGUACCUAACCAGAAAGCCACGGCUAACUACGUGCCAGCCGCCGCUGUAA